GACGAACGCUGGCGGCGUGCUUAAUACAUGCAAGUCGAACGGAAAGGCCCUGCUUUUGUGGCGUGCUCGAGUGCCGAACGGGUGAGUAACACGUGAGUAACCUGCCCUUGACUUUCGGAUAACUUCAGGAAACUGGGGCUAAUACCGGAUAGGAGCUCCUGCUGCAUGGUGGGGGUUGGAAAGUUUCGGCGGUUGUGGCUGGACUCGCGGCUUAUCCGCUAGUUGGUGGGGUAGUGGCUUACCAAGCCUUCGACGGGUAGCCCGCCUUGGAGGGUGACCAGGGACAAUGGGACUAAGGGAGGGACCAGACGCGAACGGGAGGCAACGGGGGGAAGCCUGGCACAGUAAGCGGGAGCGUGAGAUGGAGGCGCUGGGAUCGGGAAGACGGCCUAUGGGUUGUAAACCGCUUUCGAAUGUGCCGUGGCGGGAGUGACGGUAAUGGGUAAAGAAGCACCGGCUAACUACGUG
rnacentral:rRNA from 1 species